rnacentral:rRNA from 1 species
CUGCGAAUGGCUCAUUAUAUAAGUUAUCGUUUAUUUGAUAUUGCCUAUCCUACAUGGAUAACAGUGGUAAUUCUAGAGCUAAUACAUGCUGAAAAUCCCGACUUCGGAAGGGACGUAUUUAUUAGAAUCAGAACCAAUGCCCUUCGGGGUUUUCUGGUGACUCAUGAUAACUCCACAGAUCGCAUGGCCUUGCGCCGGCGAUGGCUCAUUCAAAUUUCUUCCCUAUCAACUUUCGACGGUACGGUCUUGGCCUACCGUGGUUGUAACGGGUGACGGAGGGUUAGGGCUCGACCCCGGAGAAGGAGCCUGAGAAACGGCUACUACAUCCAAGGAAGGCAGCAGGCGCGCAAAUUAUCCAAUCCCGACUCGGGGAGAUAGUGACAAUAAAUACCGAUACAGGGCUCUUUUGGGCCCUGUAAUUGGAAUGAGUACAAUUUAAACCUCUUAACGAGGAACAAUUGGAGGGCAAGUCUGGUGCCAGCAGCCGCGGUAAUUCCAGCUCCAAUAGCGUAUAUUAAAGUUGUUGUGGUUAAAAAGCUCGUAGUCGAACCUCGAGCCUGGCCGGCCGGUCCGCCUCACCGCGUGCACUGGUCUGGCCGGGCUCUUCCCUCUGCGGAACCGCAUGUCCUUCACUGGGCGUGUCGGGGAGGCAGGACUUUUACUUUGAAAAAAUUAGAGUGCUCAAGGCAGGCCAAUGCUCGAAUACAUUAGCAUGGAAUAAUAGAAUAGGACGUUGGUUCUAUUUUGUUGGUUUCUAGGACCGCCGUAAUGAUCAAUAGGGACGGUCGGGGGCAUCAGUAUUCAGCCGUCA